GUAUCACUCAGAUAAGCAAAGUAAAUUGGACUUCAGUCUCUAGUGGGUUUUGAGGUUAUGACCACACUUUGAGCUCCUGGAGGGGUGCCACUCCAGGUAACAAUAGGCCAUUUGGGCUUUCCUGAACGGGGACCUUCAGGCAGAAUAAAUUCAAACUUAAGAAAAGUCGGGCAGAGGAGAUACUGUGCUGACCUGCCCAGAACACUGACGAUUUAAUGACAAGAACUGGCAAGUGUAAUUUUGGUUAAAAUGUAAUUUCUUACUGGAAAAAAAUGGUUUUUGUCUUAAACAAUUUGGAAAUUUAAUGAAAAAUUCAAUAUUCUUCAUUCUUAAGUAGUCUGCCCUUCAGUAUAAAACGGCCAAAUAUCCCCUACCAAAAAGAAGAACAAGGAGAUAGAGGAAAAUGAGAGCUGGGCAAGGACCACACUGUCACGAAUGGUACACUGAGCACCACUGCAGUGCCCAUCCCAUGCACCUGGCCAACAGCAAUGGUGGAACCUAGUACCCAGCAAAGUGCAUGCUGAGCUUUCUUCUGCCUCAUGGUACCAGAAGCAAGUUUCAGUGACGCGUGUUCCCUCUCAUUCCUUGGGACAAAUUGUCCUAGUGAGAGAAAGCUCUAAUACUCAUGCACAAGACAUUCCAUGACAGUAACGAUAACACUUACUCACAUUUACAUUUAUAUGUCUGGUCUUUUCUCUAUCUGUUUCUCAGAAAGAAAACUCAAAUACCGGACUGUCUGGUUUAAAACCAGACACAUGGCAACCCUAUUUACUAAAACUUUACUGCUGGGCACUGUGCUAUUUGCUUUCACAUAUAUUGUGUCUUAUUCAAUCCUUGUAAUGGUUCUGUGAGUAAAGUAGGAUUCCUAUUUUACAGAUGAGGAAGCUAAAGCUCAGAGAGGUUAAGUAGUGUGCUUACAGUCACCCAGAUAGUUAUUGGAUAUGGUACUGUGACCCUAGAAUGUUUGACCUUACAUUUCUUUAUUUUUCUUUGAUAUUUGAUGCAUUGAAAUGAUUCAAGAGUUCUUGAAAUCUGUCAUCAAGUUUUUCCUUGGUUGAAGUUUGGAUAUGGAACACUUCAAAACAUAAUAGCACCCUUGGGAUCUCAGAAAGUAUGUUGUCUAUGAAGUAUUAGGAAAAGAUUCGAAGAGUGGCAUCAAUAAUCAACUGUUAAUAAAUUUGAAAGAGCCACAUUUUGCAAAAAAACAAAAAGAAAUUCCACCAACAAGACCAUGAAAGGCUGAAAGAAUUACAGGCUUUGACAAUGAAUGGUAUCCCCAUGCCUUGGUCAGGAGCCAUCUCAGAGUCUCAUCUUAGUAAGUUGCAAAAUCUGCCCAAUUGCUGUCACCUAUUGGCUACUGGAUACCUAGUUUGAUUAGAUUUUCAGGCUCUUUAUUGUUUCCUUUUAAAACUUUCAAAUGAUUUUGUGCAAUGAAUGGAACCAGAUGGAAAUACACUGAUACCUCUUUCAUCUUCCUAAGCAAAUGCCCAGGGAAAUCAUGUGACAGUUUUCCAAUUGCAGAUUUUUCCAAUGGUGUGAAUCUUUUAGGCCAGGAUUCCUGGAGGUGUGAACCGAUUUUUUCCCAAGAGACUUUUCACUGUCCCUUGCACUGACAAAUUGGAGCUUCCUGUGAAGGUAGCAUUUCACAACAAAACUUCAAGAACUAUCAGCUGUAUUACUGAUACAAACUUGACUAAUUCGUCUCUGUUUCAAUCUUG
rnacentral:lncRNA from 1 species